rnacentral:rRNA from 1 species
GACGAACGCCGGCGGCGUGCCUAAUACAUGCAAGUCGAGCGAUGAAGCUCCUUCGGGAGUGGAUUAGCGGCGGACGGGUGAGUAACACGUGGGUAACCUGCCUCAUAGAGGGGAAUAGCCUUUCGAAAGGAAGAUUAAUACCGCAUAAGAUUGUAGUGCCGCAUGGCAUAGCAAUUAAAGGAGUAAUCCGCUAUGAGAUGGACCCGCGUCGCAUUAGCUAGUUGGUGAGGUAACGGCUCACCAAGGCGACGAUGCGUAGCCGACCUGAGAGGGUGAUCGGCCACAUUGGGACUGAGACACGGCCCAGACUCCUACGGGAGGCAGCAGUGGGGAAUAUUGCACAAUGGGGGAAACCCUGAUGCAGCAACGCCGCGUGAGUGAUGACGGUCUUCGGAUUGUAAAACUCUGUCUUCAGGGACGAUAAUGACGGUACCUGAGGAGGAAGCCACGGCUAACUACGUGCCAGCAGCCGCGGUAAUACGUAGGUGGCAAGCGUUGUCCGGAUUUACUGGGCGUAAAGGGAGCGUAGGUGGAUAUUUAAGUGGGAUGUGAAAUACUCGGGCUUAACCUGGGUGCUGCAUUCCAAACUGGAUAUCUAGAGUGCAGGAGAGGAAAGUAGAAUUCCUAGU